CCGGAUCUUUCGACCAUGUCUAAGGUUUAAAGCCUAGGGAAUGUCGGCUAAAUUAGUUGUAGUAAUGAAAGAAAAAGAAGUGGCAAUGAUAAAUCACUAAUGUCGCGCACUUACACGAAGAUUACGACAACAUCAGCACAUGAGAAUUAAAGUAGUUGAUUCACUUUUAAACGAACUGUUCUAAAGAACCGAUUCGCGAAGUUAGAAUGCACUGUGCAGAACUCCUGAAGUUGGGACUUUGGAAGAAGCAGGUCCCUCGUAUGUCAUAAUAAAGCCAUUUUGAACAAACUCGGCGAAGGAAGUUAUGAAAAAAUCGCAGGGCUUCGCUUUCAAAGUUGCCGGAAACUUUUGUGAGGCUUCGCAGAUCUAGUGAGCAAGUGCAUGUCCGUGUGCAGGUGUUGAGAUGAGAAUGACAACGCGGUGGGAAUGUAAAUGUCUUCGUAAAGUUCCACACAGGUCAGGUCUCAUAGAUGACCCUUUUUGAGAAAUGCAAGUCCUCAAACAUUGGAUGUUGCUACUGAUGGUGGCCCACCAAGUGCACUCUACAGUCAAGAACAGAAGGAACAUUUCCAGAAGAAAUGGACAGAACUGAACCUUCGAUAUGACAGACUCUGCUGUCUGGGCCUGGUGUUGGUGUCCCCAUUUACACCCCCAAAGAGGUGGGUGGCAGUUGUCCUAUCCAUCUUAUCUGAUGGCAACAGGCAUUUAUUUGUGUUAGUACACCGAAAACCGAUCACGCAGAAACAAAUGUUCCCAUUUCAGUGGUUGAAAGGG
ensembl:lncRNA